AACAUCGCGCACCUGCGGGAACCUGCGGAGGGAUCAUUACCGAGUUUACAACUCCCAAACCCCUGUGAACAUACCUAUACGUUGCCUCGGCGGAUCAGCCCGCGCCCCGUAAAACGGGACGGCCCGCCCGAGGACCCCUAAACUCUGUUUUUAGUGGAACUUCUGAGUAAAACAAACAAAUAAAUCAAAACUUUCAACAACGGAUCU
rnacentral:misc_RNA from 1 species